GAGUUUGAUCUUGGCUCAGAUUGAACGCUGGCGGCAGGCCUAACACAUGCAAGUCGGGCGGUAGAGAGAAGCUUGCUUCUCUUGAGAGCGGGCGGACGGGUGAGUAAUGCCUAGGAAUCUGCCUGGUAGUGGGGGAUAACGCUCGGAAACGGACGCUAAUACCGCAUACGUCCUACGGGAGAAAGCAGGGGACCUUCGGGCCUUGCGCUAUCAGAUGAGCCUAGGUCGGAUUAGCUAGUUGGUGAGGUAAUGGCUCACCAAGGCGACGAUCCGUAACUGGUCUGAGAGGAUGAUCAGUCACACUGGAACUGAGACACGGUCCAGACUCCUACGGGAGGCAGCAGUGGGGAAUAUUGGACAAUGGGCGAAAGCCUGAUCCAGCCAUGCCGCGUGUGUGAA
rnacentral:rRNA from 1 species